UGCCCAGCAACUUCUAUCCCUACCUCCUAGCGGUGCUGACCGGGAUACGAGUAACCUUGGGGAAAAUCGGGUAACCAACAAUGCUGACAGGGAAAG
rnacentral:ribozyme from 1 species